rnacentral:rRNA from 1 species
GACGAACGCUGGCGGCGUGCUUAACACAUGCAAGUCGAACGGUGAAGCGCCUUCCUUUUUGGUGGGUGUGGAUGAGUGGCGAACGGGUGAGUAACACGUGAGUAACCUGCCCCCUUCUUCUGGAUAACCGCAUGAAAGUGUGGCUAAUACGGGAUAUUCUGGGUCUGUCGCAUGAUGGGUCUGGGAAAGAUAUUGUUUCGGUGGGGGAUGGGCUCGCGGCCUAUCAGCUUGUUGGUGGGGUGAUGGCCUACCAAGGCGGUGACGGGUAGCCGGCCUGAGAGGGUGAACGGUCAUACUGGGACUGAGACGCGGACCAGACUCCGACGGGAGGCAGCGGUGGGGAAUAUUGCACAAUGGGCGCAAGCCUGAUGCAGCGACGCCGCGUGAGGGAUGGAGGCCUUCGGGUUGUGAACCUCUUUCGCCAGUGAAGCAGGCCUGCCUCGUUUGUGGGUGGGUUGACGGUAGCUGGAUAAGAAGCGCCGGCUAACUACGUG